ACUAAAAGACUAGUAACCUAAGUACAAAACGACGCAACUGAUGACAACUUAUUGUUUUCCAAUCCUCCCAACGUUUGCCAAUAUCCAUAACGUUUCCCAAUCCAAAAGGAAACAACAAAUCAAUUUCCUUCCCCUCUAACGAUUCCCGAUCCUCUUCUUGUCGAAAAAUCCCCAAAUCUUUACACUAUCUCAUCCUACCGGUAAAAGCACUUAAAAUUAUCGGAAAUAGCAGUUUCGUUCGCUUCUAAUCCUGUUAAUCUGCUUUCAUCAUUCAAUCUCGGAUUCAUGAUACGCUUCUUUUCCAUCUUCUUCCGGAUAAACCAGACAAAUAAGGCUUUAUUGCGAUUUCAUCAAAGAUAAUCCCCACCAUAUGCACCGGGUUUCUGUUCCUGUUAUUCUUCGUAAUCCCAACCACUGAAGAUUGUGUAAUUCGACCAUGUAUACAAAAAAGUUUUCUGAAUGGGGGCAAGUUGAUCGAAGGAAAGGUUGGUGCAUCUCUACGCCAACAUGAUUGGUUUCCUAUAAGUUGUGUUCAUUGACACUCAAAUUGGACACCAACAGUCACUUAACACGUUCCAGGUUCAAGAACAUAGGCCUAAUUCUCUCUUUUCAUGUUUAUUAUGAAAAAACCCAUAUCACUCUCUUUUUUCCAUCAUGCCAUGAUCGCUUCUUAUGUUUAUAUUUAUAUGUAGUUUUCUGAAUUGGGGCAACUUGAAAGAAAAAGGUUGGUGUAAUGUGUUGUAUUAUUAUCCUUCUCACUAAUCCCUAAUUUUUUUGAAGAUUAAAUGUGCACUUCAGAUUAUUGAAAUUAA